rnacentral:rRNA from 1 species
UUUUGUAUUUUAGUUUAUUUUAUUUAAAUCUAUAUUUAAAGUUUAUUGUUUAUUAUCUAAUUUAAUAAAAUUAUUUGUUUUAUAUAAAUUUUUAAUGUGAGUGGUGGAGUUUUAAUUAAAUAAUUAAAAGUAUAAUUUUUUUUUAGUACCUUUUGUAUCAGGGGUUGUUAAAUUUGUUAAAUUAAGUAUUUAUUUAUCUCGAAAAUAUAAGAGUUACAUAGUUAUGUAAUUUAAUAUUUCAUUAUUAUUUAUAAUAAUUUUGUAGAGAUGAUAUGUUAUUAGAUUAUACUGAUAUCUAGUUUUUACUUAAUUUAAUUUAAUUAAGUGUAUUUAAUUUAGUAAUAAAUUUAUUUUUGAUAUUUUUACUUAUAUUUAUGUAAUAUCUUGGGGGAUUACCUUCAUGAUUUUUUAAAAUUUAAAUUUUAGUUUAUUAGGAGAAUGAUUGUAGAUAAGAUUUUUAAUAUUUAGAAAAAAUUUAAUAAUUUAUUUUUUUAGAGCAUAAUGUAUAAAUUUUAUAUUAAUUAUUUUUAUUUGAAUUUAAUUAAUUAAGUAAAUAAUUUAUUUAAUAAAUUUUUUUUAUGAAAUAAUGAUAAUAUUAGUAUAAAAUUAUAUUUCCUAAAUUUUAUUAUUUAAUAAUAUAUAAUAGAUUUAUGAAUUAGGCAAAAAUUUAAUUUAUCUGUUUAACAAAAACAUAUUCUUGGGUUUUAAAAUCUAAGGUGGGCCCUGCUCAGUGAUUUAUUUUAAAUAGCCGCAGUAAUUUGACUGUGCAAAGGUAGCAUAGUAAUUUGCCUUUUAAUUGUGGGCUGGAAUGAACGGGUUGAUGAGAUUAAGACUUUAUUAAUUUAUUUAUUUAUAAUUUAAUUUUUAAGUAAAAAUUCUUAAAUUAAUACAUGGGACGAGAAGACCCUAUAGAAUUUUAUAAUUUUAUUUUAUAAUAAUUUUAUUUAUAUUUAUAUAAAGUAUAAUUAUUUAGUUGGGAGGACUCUUAAAUUAGUUUAACUUUAAGAUUGUUAAAUCAUUUGAUUAUUGGAUUGAUCGAUUAUUAGUUAUAUAUAUGAGAAUUAAUUACCUUAGGGAUAACAGCGUAAUACUUUUGAAUAGUUCUUAUAAAUAAAAGUGAUUGCGACCUCGAUGUUGAAUUAAGAUUGAAUUAUAAGAAGAGUUAUAAUUUUAGAGUCUGUUCGACUUUUUUAUCUUACAUGAUUUGAGUUCAGACCGGCGUGAGCCAGGUCGGUUUCUAUCCUUGUUAUUAUUAUAUAAUUUUUGUACGAGAGGACUAAGUUAUUGAAAU